CCUACGGGUGGCAGCAGUGAGGAAUAUUGGUCAAUGGACGAGAGUCUGAACCAGCGAAGUAGCGUGAAGGAUGACUGCCCUAUGGGUUGUAAACUUCUUUUAUAAAGGAAUAAAACGAGGCACGUGUGCCUUUUUGCAUGUACUUUAUGAUUAAGGAUCGGCUAACUCCGGGCCAGCAGCCGCGGUAAUACGGAGGAUCCGAGCGUUAUCCGGAUUUGAUGGGUUUAAAGGGAGCGUAGAUGGGUUGUUAAGUCAGUUGUGAAAGUUUGUGGCGCAACCGUAAAAUUGCAUUUGAUACUUGCAGACUUGAGUACAGUUGAGGUAGGCGGAAUUCGUGGUGUAGCGGUGAAAUGCGUAGAUAUCACGAAGAACCCCGAUUGCGAAGGCAGCUUACUAAACUGUGACUGACAUUGAUGCUCGAAAGUGUGGGUAUCAAACAGGAUUAGAUACCCCAGUAGUC
rnacentral:rRNA from 1 species